rnacentral:lncRNA from 1 species
CUUUGGUCUAUUUUUUUGUGAUAAUUAUAUAAAUUUGUGUUUCUGUAAUUCUACAUGCUUCCAUUAUUAUUUUCCAAAAUGCACAUUUUUGUGAUAGAUAAAAGAGCAAGCAAAAUGCAUUUAUUUCUUCCAAACAUUAAUUACUGCAAGAUGACUGUGUAAUUAGUGAAAUAGGCAUCUCCUACAGGUUUUAAUUUAGAUUUCACCAAAAAGUGCUUGAUUAAUAAAGAAAUUAUUUUUAAAACCUUCAAUUGAAUUAAUUAAAGAUGAGGAAUAAUUUUCAAUUCAGUUAUCCAAAUAAGCUUAUAUGGAUCCAGAGAGAUUAUUUUUAAAUAGUGUUAUGAUCACUUCUGAAGUAUCUAGUUUACUCUCAUGGUGCUACACAAGCACCAAAGCAGUCAAUACCAUGAAUGAUAAAUAAUAUUGGGAAGAAAAUGUAAGGCAGAUUUUUAAGUUAAUCACUCUUUGUAUAUGUUUCAGUUCUAUUGAUAGAUUAAAUGAUUGCUUCUUUGUUUAUUCCCCAUUAUCUUUGACUUCCUUGUACGUAGGUGCCCUCUGAAUACCAGACAGGAACAUCCUAUUUAUUGUGAUUUCAAGUCAACAGAAAAUUUUAAAAGCUAUAACUUUUCUUUAUAAUUUCCUCUCAUGAGAAAGGGCAGUGGUGCAAGUAAGGAAGCUAGUAUCAGCCAUUCCAAAUUACUAUUUACAAGCAGAUAUGGGAGUUUAGAUCCCCCCCACAAAAGAAGUGUAAAAUGGCAAGAUUAUUGGCAAAAACUAAGAAAAAAAUUUUUCUCAUCUUUUUUGGAUUCCCAUAUCAUACAUUUUAGGCUAGUUAUGAUUUUUUACAUAAGAGUAAUAUAAAAGCCUGCUGACUUUGUUACUUCCCUGUGUAUGUUGACAUUAAAUUUCUUUGAUAUAGCUUAAUUAUCCUGAAAAUCUGUAGCUUUCCGUUUCCUCUUAUCUCCAGGAGACUAUUUUAAACUUCUCUACUUAUAUGAUGUGUACCUGUAGUCCCAUAGAUUGAC